GUCUCCACAUUACAUUAUACUGUCUCCACAUUACAUUAUACUGUCUCCACAUUACAUUAUACUGUCUCCACAUUACAUUAUACUGUCUCCACGUUACAUUAUACUGUCUCCACAUUACAUUAUACUGUCUCCACCUCACGUUACAUAAUACUGUCUCCACAUUACAUUAUACUGUCUCCACAUUACAUUAUACUGUCUCCACAUUACAUUAUACUGUCUCCACCUCACAUUACAUUAUACUGCCUCCACAUUACAUUAUACUGUCUCCAGCUCACAUUACAUUAUACUGCCUCCACGUUACAUUAUACUGUCUCCACAUUACAUUAU